rnacentral:rRNA from 1 species
GACGAACGCUGGCGGCGUGCUUAACACAUGCAAGUCGAGCGGUAAGGCACCUUCGGGUGUACACGAGCGGCGAACGGGUGAGUAACACGUGAGUAAUCUGCCCUUCACUUCGGGAUAAGCACCGGAAACGGUGUCUAAUACCGGAUACGACCAGCCUCGGCAUCGGGUGCUGGUGGAAAGUCUUUUCGGUGGAGGAUGUGCUCGCGGCCUAUCAGCUUGUUGGUGGGGUAAUGGCCUACCAAGGCUUCGACGGGUAGCCGGCCUGAGAGGGUGACCGGCCACACUGGGACUGAGACACGGCCCAGACUCCUACGGGAGGCAGCAGUGGGGAAUAUUGGACAAUGGGCGAAAGCCUGAUCCAGCAACGCCGCGUGAGGGAUGACGGCCUUCGGGUUGUAAACCUCUUUCAGUAUCGACGAAGCGCCCCUUUCGGGUGGUGACGGUAGAUACAGAAGAAGGACCGGCCAACUACGUGCCAGCCGCCGCCGUAAAAC